rnacentral:rRNA from 1 species
UACGUAGGGGGCUAGCGUUGUCCGGAAUUAUUGGGCGUAAAGCGCAUGUAGGCGGCCAGUUAAGUCAGGGGUGAAAUCCCGGGGCUCAACCCCGGAACUGCCUUUGAUACUGGGUAUCUGGAGUCCGAGAGAGGUGAGUGGAAUUCCGAGUGUAGAGGUGAAAUUCGUAGAUAUUCGGAGGAACACCAGUGGCGAAGGCGGCUCACUGGCUCGGUACUGACGCUGAGGUGCGAAAGCGUGGGGAGCAAACAGG